AUAACAAUACAGGACUCUUUCGAGGCCCUGUAAUUGGAAUGAGUACACUUUAAAUCCUUUAACGAGGAUCUAUUAGAGGGCAGGUCUGAUGCAGAGCGACUGACCCGUGCAUGCUGCAGCUGAAA
rnacentral:rRNA from 1 species